UACGGAGGGUGCGAGCGUUGUCCGGAAUACUGGGCGUAAAGCGUGCGCAGGCGGCUUUGCAAGACAGAUGUGAAAUCCCCGGGCUCAACCUGGGAACUGCAUUUGUGACUGCAUGGCUGGAGUGCGGCAGAGGGGGAUGGAAUUCCGCGUGUAGCAGUGAAAUGCGUAGAUAUGCGGAGGAACACCGAUGGCGAAGGCAAUCCCCUGGGCCUGCACUGACGCUCAUGCACGAAAGCGUGGGGAGCAAACAGG
rnacentral:rRNA from 1 species